GAAAGGAGGUGAAUACACAUCAGAACUUUAAUACUGUAAAGCCUGAUUAAUCCACAACUGAUGAAGGGGGAAGUCUAUAUUCUAAAGGUCGUUUUUAUUUAUUCAGAGAUCAUGCAUUGCCCUCCCUUUCUUUUCUUUUUUGAGGCGUGUAAUACUUGUGGCCAUAGAUAGGAUUCAAGGAGCAUUGGACAUUAGCAAAUCAAGUACUUUGAAGCUUAGGCACCUUUGUUAGAUUUAGGUCAAGUUUCCCUCCUAAUGUAAAAUCAGGAUACUGGGAAGAAAACUUUUCCCACUAACCUUCUCAAUCUUGCAAGGAGAGAACAAUUCCUUGGUGGUUAUAGGUUGUAAGGUUAGAAGGAGAGUAUAAUACAUUUCACCCAAUCUAAGCUUGUCACAGCAAGUAGAAUAUAGAAAAUCGUUAUGUUUAACCUCAAACAGAUAGAACGUAAGAAGGUAAACAACAAAAGAGAAAAAGCAUUUGACUAAAAGAAUUUAGAAAUAUAGGCACACCCAUGCAAGAGAAGCUUCAAAUAUUGUUCCAACUGUCCAGAAACUUGAGAAAAUCAUCAUCCAAGAACCUCUGUUUGAAGUAGGGACAAACUCUAAGAACCAUGAUGUAAAUAAGUAUCCAGCUGCUAAACCAAUCCCAGCAAAAAA